AAUGAACGCCGGCGGCAUGCCUAACACAUGCAAGUCGAACGAGACCUUCGGGUCUAGUGGCGCACGGGUGCGUAACGCGUGGGAAUCUGCCCUUGGGUUCGGAAUAACUCGCCGAAAGGCGUGCUAAUACCGGAUGAUGACGUAAGUCCAAAGAUUUAUCGCCCAAGGAUGAGCCCGCGUAGGAUUAGCUAGUUGGUGGGGUAAAGGCCCACCAAGGCGACGAUCCUUAGCUGGUCUGAGAGGAUGAUCAGCCACACUGGGACUGAGACACGGCCCAGACUCCUACGGGAGGCAGCAGUGGGGAAUAUUGGACAAUGGGCGAAAGCCUGAUCCAGCAAUGCCGCGUGAGUGAUGAAGGCCUUAGGGUUGUAAAGCUCUUUUACCCGGAAUGAUAAUGACAGUACCGGGAGAAUAAGCCCCGGCUAACUCCGUGCCAGCCGCCGCCGUAA
rnacentral:rRNA from 1 species